CAUCUACUAAGAGUGAGGGGGCAGGGGUUGAUGGGAUGGUUUAAGAGUACAGGUUUAAGGUCAUUUUCGGGAAAAGAAAGAUGACCAAGGGCAAGAGUGAGGCUGGCCAGGCUGGCUAAAGCCAGCUGGGAGGGAAGACGUGAACGCAUAGGGGCACCAGACCAUGAACUGUGAGAUUCUCUCUAGCACGCUCAGCUACCC
rnacentral:lncRNA from 10 species